ensembl:lncRNA
CUUCAUUUAAGGUGUGUGAUUCGUGUAAGCUUACCCUGGCUUGAUAACCAUGUCUCUCGGACAAGAAGCAAGAAUGGUUCUGUGCUAUGUACCGGAGUGUAACAACUACUCCGAUUAACCUCAUGUGCAUUUCAUGGUUUUCCGACCUCUGUGAGGCAUCGCUGGAAACGAGUGAUAAGACAAUAGGCGUGACCUGCGGAACAUCGGGCUCACCCCACGAAAAGCAGUGUAUGAUCAACGCCACCCCCAGCCAGGAGAUCUGCUGACCCGAAAAACCACACAAGGGUUAAGCAUUCCAGAUGAUUUUCAAAGGCUGUGUCCUAACCAACUCUACUUACUUAUUUGGAGUUCAAUGGAAACAUUGAAGUUCCAGGCACGUGGGAUGAUGCCAGAUGCUGGAAUAGCAGCAAUGCCACGUACAGGCAGGGAUGACUGGGGCCUUCAGCGGGUAAGAUGUGGGUGCCAAUUUUGGGAACAUGUGGUCCUUGAAAAACGCCUCAUCUCCAGCAAUAUGAGUGUGCCAGAGGUCAUCACGCUGGAUGGGGAUGGUGAUGGAGGCUUUGGUGGUCCACACAAUGAAGGAGCAUCAAUGAAAUGUCUGUAUCUCAGUAAAAUCUUUGAAACUGUUGCAUAUACAUUUUUGCUCAGUAUAUCUUUACAAUAAAAAAAUAAGGUGACCACCGAAAGCCAGAUGGAGACGUGUUAAUUAGAAGCGCACUCGGUCCUUAUAUUACCGUAGCAUAGGCUAUGUUGGAGCGAAUGUCGGCCUACCUGUCACAAGAAAAAAAGUUACCAUUAUGAGAUGAUAGGUCUACAUGCAUUGUGAACUGCGCUCCAUGCUGAGAUGGGCUGUAUGUACACACCCUGAGUAUUGAUGAUUGGUCAGGCAGAGAGAAGGCCAUAGACAAGCCAGAUUUAGACAUUGCAUAUCAUUUUACAGUUCCAUUUCACUUCAUGCACUUCCUAUAAAUAAUUUAUUAUAAUUUACCGGUUUCUCGCUGUUAUUUUUCACGGAAAAAGGGAGGGCCUUUAAC